rfam:Nocardia sp. Root136 contig_10, whole genome shotgun sequence.
CAACCAUCCAGAGCGACCGAGAGACCUGGCUCGAUGACGUCGCAGCAACCCGCCCGUUUCGGGGUGUGGGUGCUUCUGCCGGGAUCGAUGGAGG